CAGCCAUCAAAAUCAGUGUCGAGAGAGAGCACGGUGGCGCCAUUGGCGAUCGGCUGGAUGAGCUGCUGCAGCGAGAUGCGGUCUGCUGGCAGGAAAACGAUGGCGGGGAUUCCAGCGGCGGCGCAGUACGCCGAGAGCGCGGCGGAGGUGUCUCCCGUGGAUGCGCAGCCAACACCGGCGAUGGGGCGCGAGAGCGGGGCGCGGCGGAGGCGGUUCACCUGACUGACGAGCACCGUCAUGCCGAGGUCCUUGAAGGAGCCCGUGUGGGAGAUUCCGCAGUGCUUGACCCAGAGAUCGUUCAUCCCGCCGAGGUGCUCGCGGCCGAAGCGUUCCGCCCAGAAGAGGUUGGAAUUGCCCUCGAAGAGGGAGACGAUGUGGUCGGAGUCGAUCUCCGGCAG
rnacentral:lncRNA from 1 species